rnacentral:rRNA from 1 species
GAUGAACGCUGGCGGCGUGCCUAACACAUGCAAGUCGAGCGGCAGCGCGGGGUGCUUGCACCCUGUCGGCGAGCGGCGGACGGCUGAGUAACGCGUGGGAACGUGCCCCAAAGUGAGGGAUAACUGCCCGAACGGGUAGCUAAUACCGCAUAUUAUCUUCGAAUCAAAGGAUUUAUCCGCUUUGGGAGCGGCUCGCGUCGGAUUAGGUAGUUUGUGAGGUAAUUGCUCACCAAGCCGACGAUCCGUAGAUGGUCGGAGAGGAUGACCAGCCAGACUGGAACUAGGACACGGUCGAGACUCCUACGGGAGGCAGCAGUGCGGAACCUUCCAAAAUGGGGGAAGGCAUGAAGGAGCACCGCCGCGUGAAGGACGAAGGCCUUGGGGUUGUAAACUGCUUUUAUAAGUGAGGAAUAUGACGGUAACUUAUGAAUAAGGAUCGGCUAACUACGUG